rnacentral:tRNA from 1 species
GCGCGAUUAACUCAGUCUGGACAGAGUCCCCAGCUUCUACCUGGGUGGUCGGUGGUUCAAAUCCAUCAUCGCGUACAA